CCCGGCCAAGAAAUAGUUAUAACCCAGAGUGAAACCACAACCUGUGGAUUAAAGAAACAAGUUAUAGCGUGAUAAUCAGAGAGCUUUAGGUGGUUAAUCUCGAAUACUUCGACUGGGAACAUUUGGUCGUGCACUGUGCAUUUGAUAUUUCUCUCUGAUUCCACUACAUUCUACAACAGCCAUUUACAAUUUAGAAACAAUUCCAUCUCUGCAAACUUGAACGGCAUUUGGUUGAGAGGACCUGUCAGACAGUGACCAGCGUUUCUGGCCUCCUAAUGAGUUGGAGAAGAGUUGACGCAGGUCCAAGUUUUGCCUCAGAUCCCGACUCCCUUUGUCUUCUCUCUUAGUCUCCCAAAGCUGCUUUUCACAUUUGGAUCAAAGUUUGCUAACUCAUACAAAGCCCUGGUAUCAGCGAAUGAAGCACAAAAACAGCAAUCGUUGUGAAAAGAGAAACGUUUUGGGAAAGACACACAUUCUUUAUUCUUAAAAGAAGAGUGACUGAAUGUCUGAAAAGGCCCCAGAGCAGACUGCCAUUCAGUGAGAGGUAUUAUUCCUCCUAGCUAAUGCGAGACAUAAAAAUACACACUCUUGCGUAAGGCAGCGCCAGUGGAAAGGUAGACACCAUAGAAGACGAGGGAAAAAAAAUCUGAGCCAGUGAGGAAGACGGACAGAAUAUGAGAGAGAGUUAGUGUGGAAAGAAGAUGUGGGAUGCUGUGGUUCCCAGAGUCAUCUGGUGGCGAUGGAGAUCGCCGGCUAAACCUCAGAGACUUUUGAGAAGAAGAAAAAAAAAAACCCUCUUUGAUCACUUGUUGUAAUUAUGCACUGCUGCUUUGUUGCAACAACGUGAACCACGUAAUGUGCCGGUAACCGUUUAACGUAACCGCUUCACCACACUCGCCCUAAACUGGGCCGAGAGUGCUGACCGUUUGUUCCUGGUGCGUUUCCUGGAUGCCAUGGAGGACCAACGGCGUGCAUCUGAAGCAGAAUUCUUUAAUUACGUAUCUUUUUUGAUUUAGAGGAAUAUGUGUAAUAAACACGUUUGCAACUGCAGACUUGGUUCAUUAAAGACGUAUAACAACUUAAGUCUGACUUAUUCAAUUCAGCUGCA
ensembl:lncRNA